CAGAAUUGUCCAAGCCUUCACACUACACUUCCAUGCGUUCAAACACGCUCUCCCUCUUUGGGGAUUUCCGGUCAUCGCCUCCACCGUGCCGGAAAUCUCCUCUGGCGGCGGCGGAGGCUCAAACACACCAAUUUGUGCCUCAUCUCACCCCUCUCCUUCUACUCUAUCUAGACCCUUUCUAAAUUUCGUCCAAUCCUACGCCAAUAAUCCGGAUCCAAACACUCAGUGGACGAGCCCUAGGAUGAAAAUCAUCAAAUCAUCGGUAAAGAACGCGACAAUGGGGAUCCAAAAUUUAGGGGUUUGGUCCCUUUAGUGAUAAAUCACAACUCAACAGCGGAAUAUGCAAUGAAGAACGGACAAUUUAUGUGCCUAACUCUAUCACGAACGCCAUCAACGGACCUGACACGAGUGGGAUGAAAAUACCAGAGGCUCUCCUAGUUAUCAUUGCGGUGGUUGCAUGGCGAAGUGUUGAUGUGAGAGUGAAGUCAGCUUCUCAGAGAUGAACUAUGAAGAAUGAGCUCUAAUCCUUGAGCAAAGAGCAUUCGAUUCUGAAUAUGAAGGUGGAGAACCUUUGAUUCAGGUGUAGAGUUCUGAUCCGUGAGGGAGAGCUUGAGAGUGAAGAGUGAAGAUUUUUGCGGUGAAGAUGGAGAGAUGAAUUUGCAGUGAGUUUGAGAGGUUUGAUUUGGCUAUGUGAUUUUGUUGCAGAAUUCGACGCAUGUGUGGAUGAAGAAAUUGCGGAGGAGAAUUUGGUGUAGAAGAAAAAGCUUGAUGCAGAUAAAUGCAAAAAUUCUGGUGCAAAGUGAAGGAGUUUUUGUUGCAGCGUGGAGAAAAUCGGUUGGUGAAUGAAGAAAAUUGGAGAUGAAAGAUGAUUUUUUGAUUGAAGAAUGGUAAGCAUUCAUGAUCCCUUAUGAAACGAUUCAUUCUCAAGAGCAGUCAGAUCCAACCAUAGUGAAGCGCACAAAAAUGCAAUUGAGAAGUCUACAAGUGGUCGAUGAGGAAGUUCCUUGCAGGGUAAUCACUUAGCAUGGAAACCGACACGGAGCCGCAAGUGAAGUAACUUGUUAAUUAACCUUAAUUCUGUCCAAUAUUGCUUCAUAGCAUCUGGUAUAGCAGUAGUGAAAUCACUUUGGUAGCUGGUUUUCUGUUUAGUUUUGGAUGAUGGCGUAGUCGUCUUGUCAUGGCCAUGAGCAUUCAGUUUGUGCUAUGGAAUGAGAGCUAUGCAUGCUACUUGGAUUGCAAUAGAUUUGAAGGAAUUAGUCAUGAAGAUGUGUGGUGAAUGUUAAGGUUUUAGGAACUUAUGUUAUAUAUUAGAACCUUCGGUUGGAUAUUAAUUCAUGGCUUGUUUUUGGAUUGUAAAAUUAUAACUCAGGUGAGAAUGUUGUAAAAUGAAUAUGAAUUGGCUUGAAUAUUGUACAUGGAAGCUAAAUUGAAAGUUGCAAUUAAAAUUAAA